rnacentral:rRNA from 1 species
GACGAACGCUGGCGGCGUGCUUAACACAUGCAAGUCGAACGAAGUGGCGAACGGGUGAGUAACACGGAAUUAACCUGCCCUUCAGAGGGGGACCACAGUUGGAAACGACUUCUAAUACCGCAUACUGAUGGAUGGGAUUUCGUGUGAUUAGCUAGUUGGCGGGGUAACGGCCCACAAAGGCGAUGAUCAGUAGCCGGGUUGAGAGGAUGAACGGCCACAUUGGGACUGAGAAAAGGCCCAGACUCCUACGGGAGGCAGCAGUGGGGAAGUUUCCGCAAUGGAGGAAAGUCUGACGGAGCAACGCCGCGGGAGUGAUGACGGCCUUCGGGUUGUAAAGCUCUGUUAAUCGGGACGCGGUACCGGAAUAGAAAGCCACGGCUAACUACGUGCCAGCAGCCGCGGUAAUAC